rnacentral:rRNA from 1 species
ACGGGAGGCAGCAGUGAGGAAUAUUGGUCAAUGGGCGAAAGCCUGAACCAGCCAAGUCGCGUGAAGGAUGAAGGUAUUAUGUAUUGUAAACUUCUUUAGCAGCAGAGUAAUAAGGGGGUCGUGACCCCCGAUGCAAGUAUGCUGAAAAUAAGGAUCGGCUAACUCCGUGCCAGCAGCCGCGGUAAUACGGAGGAUCCGAGCGUUAUCCGGAUUUAUUGGGUUUAAAGGGUGCGCAGGCGGAGGAUUAAGUCAGCGGUGAAAUUUUCAUGCUCAACAUGAAAACUGCCACUGAUACUGGUCCCCUUGAGAGAUGUCGAGGAUGGCGGAAUGUGAUGUAUAGCGGUGAAAUGCUUAGAUAUGUCACAGAACACCGAUUGCGAAGGCAGCUGUCCAGAGAUCUUCUGACGCUCAGGCACGAAAGCAUGGGUAUCAAACAGGAUUAGAUACCCUGGUA